UACAGAGACUGCAAGCGUUAUUCGGAUUCACUGGGCGUAAAGGGUGCGCAGGCGGCCGUGUGUGUCAGGUGUGAAAGCCCGGAGCUUAACUCCGGAAUUGCGCCUGAAACUACAUGGCUAGAGCAUUGGAGAGGGUAGCAGAAUUCACGGUGUAGCAGUGAAAUGCGUAGAUAUCGUGAGGAAUACCAGAGGCGAAGGCGGCUACCUGGACAAUUGCUGACGCUCAGGCACGAAAGCGUGGGGAGCAAAAGGG
rnacentral:rRNA from 1 species